CCGCAUGCUUGCCAAACCGGGUUGCAGGUCAAGUGAGGGCGGUCUUCCAUGAGACGGCCAUCACAGCGACAUGCACACGGCCACAUCACCUGAACAGGGACGACGACCUGCCCCUCUUUGUCGUAUUGGUGUUACACCCGUAGCCCACGUGACCUGCCACGCCGCUUCACAUCAGGUAAGGACUUGGCCUAACUAGCUACCGUGUAAACGGCAUGUGCGACUCUCUUUCUCUACUUUGUUACAAGCUUACAAGAAACAAAAGCUGGUGUCCCUUUCAUCUUCGCAAGGAUGGGUUCUAGAUUUCGCAGGAGAGAUCGAGCGAGAGAUAUCUUCUGCUAAUAUAGAGGAGGGUUCAGAAUUCUACUGUAUCUUCCUGCCCAACAUGAUUUCAGCUAGACAGGGAGAGAGAAAGAUCUUCUGCUAAUAUAGAGGUGGGUUCUAGAUUUCUACUGCAUCUUCCAAUCCAACAUGGUUUCAGCUGGAGAGAGAGAGAGAGAGAGAGAGAGAGAGAUCUUCUGCUAAUAUAGAAGUGGGUUCUAGAUUUCUACUCAUCUUCCAAUCCAACAUGGUUUCAGCUGGAGAGAUGAGAGAUCGAGAGAGAGAGAGAGAGAUCUUCUGCUAAUAUAGUGGUGGGUUCUAGAUUUCUAAUGCAUCUUCCAAUCCAACAUGGUUUCAGUUGGAGAGAGAGAGAGAGAGAGAGAGAGAGAGAUCUUCUGCUAAUAUAGUGGUAGGUUCUAGAUUUCUACGAGAGAGAGAGAGAGAGAGAGAGAUCUUCUGCUAAUAUAGUGGUGGGUUCUAGAUUUCUAAUGCAUCUUCCAAUCCAACAUGGUUUCGGUUGGAGAGAGAGAGAGAGAGAGAGAGAGAGAUCUUCUGCUAAUAUAGUGGUAGGUUCUAGAUUUCUACGAGAGAGAGAGAGAGAUCUUCUGCUAAUAUAGUGGUGGGUUCUAGAUUUCUACAGCAUCUUCCAAUCCAACAUUGUUUCAGUUGGAGAGAAAGAGAGAUCGAGAGAGAGAGAGAGAGAGAGAGAGAGAGAGAGGGAGAGAGAUCUUCUGCUAAUAUAGUGGUGGGUUCUAGAUUUCUACAGCAUCUUCCAAUCCAACAUUGUUUCAGUUGGAGAGAAAGAGAGAUCGAGAGAGAGAGAGAGAGAGAGAGAGAGGGAGAGAGAUCUUCUGCUAAUAGAGUGGUGGGUUCUAGAUUUCUACGACAUCUGCCAACCCAACAUGAGAGAGAAAGAGAGAGAGAGAUGAAUGCUGCAAAUAUAUUUCAGACCAAGAUGGUUUCAGAUGGCUGCAUUUGCACCUGCACCUAAAGAGGACGACCUUCAAGAGUCUCAACCUUACAUCACUCUGUAGGUGCAGUGGCAAAUGCAACUAUAUGUCAUCUUGGCUUCCCUUCUCCAGAGCCGCACUGCCACCGCUACUCUUCAAGGUAAAAGAAUGGCUUGGAUUUCUCUUCUCCAGAAUCCGCAUCUCCAUCCAGAUCUAUUUCUUUUCCCUUUUCUUGUCAUUUGUCUUUAAUUCUUUUCUGCUCUUUUUGUUUGCUGUACCUCGUGUUGGAUGUCUUGCCCUUUAAUCUCUUCGAUAUCUUUGCUUCUUCUUUACCAUCUUAGAAUGUCUUCCAAGAUCUGUACCAAGAAAAUAGGAGACCUAAAAGUUCUUCUCUAAGCACCUCUUUUUCUUUGUUCUCUUCCCCCUUUUUUCUUUUAAUGUGUGAAAGGAAAGAUCGAAAAGAAGACCAACACUUCCCUCCCGUUUACAUAAAAGAGGUUUGGAAACCAAAGAAGAGCUUCUUCAUAAGAUACUUGUAGAUUUUAGCUAUGGCUUGUUGAGUCUGCAACCGAAGAACUCAAGUUUCCAUUCGCGUUCCUCUCAUUUACAUCCUAAAAGCUUUUCUUCACCCCCCCCCCCCCCCCCCCCCCACAAAAGAAAUUCCCAUAUAGAACAGUUUGGGAUUGAUCGAAGAGAGAGAGUUAGUUUCCUAGCGAUCACGAACUCAGAUGGUACCGAUCAGAUGCUGCGAUGAACCUCGAGAAUCUUUAGGUUUGAUAGAGGAAACACUCGACGGUACAAAUUAUGAUGUGACAAUGCGACAAUAAUAGUGGGGGAAUUCGUACUAUCUAUGAGAAAUGUAACACACAGUAAAUUGUGCACUGGGCUUUGAGAUAAGAUAAGCUUGUACCUCGUCACAUGUUCCACCAGAGUUCUUGUCCGCGUAUGUUGCUCAAGAUAUUUCCUGGUUUUUAAUCUGUGGAUUUGCUGGCAUGGUAUCCUUAAAAUUGAUAUUUUCUUGAGGCAUCAUUUGGGCUGCUGGAGAUGAUGAUUCGUGAACAGAUCAGAUCUCGAAGAUUGAAGUCGCAAUCCUAAGUAAUGCAAGAUCGACAAAGCCAUUCUAUGCAUCAGCAGAAGACAUCUUUAAGCUCAGCGAAGAGUGAAGCCACAAUGCUGGAAUGCAACGCAAUGCAUUAUCGGUGACGGAUGCAUCAACGGUGUUUAUAGAAGCUUAUAAGAGUAUGCAUCAUUAUGGAUACACAUGAAUGUUUCUCUAUUAUUCGACAUGAAUCCAAUUCAUGAAGCUUAUUUUUCAGGGUAAAUUGUUGAGAAGAACGUAUUUGAUAAUUAAAUAGGUCUAAUUGACUUGUGAUC